rnacentral:rRNA from 1 species
UACGUAGGGGCCUAGCGUUGUCCGGAAUUAUUGGGCGUAAAGAGCUCGUAGGCGGUCUGUCGCGUCGGCUGUGAAAACCCGGGGCUCAACCCCGGGCCUGCAGUCGAUACGGGCAGACUAGAGUGCGGUAGGGGAGACUGGAAUUCCUGGUGUAGCGGUGAAAUGCGCAGAUAUCAGGAGGAACACCGGCGGCGAAGGCGGGUCUCUGGGCCGUAACUGACGCUGAGGAGCGAAAGCAUGGGGAGCGAACAGG